CUCCAUGGCCAUCUGACCUUGAAUGCCUCUGAUCUCCUCUGAUUUUGGAAACCAAGCAGGCUUGAUCUUGUUAGUACUUGGAUUGGAAGAAAAGGGUGAGU
rnacentral:rRNA from 1 species